UAUAUCGGAACGUACCCAAGAGUGGGGGAUAACGUAGCGAAAGUUACGCUAAUACCGCAUACGAUCUACGGAUGAAAGUGGGGGAUCGCAAGACCUCAUGCUCCUGGAGCGGCCGAUAUCUGAUUAGCUAGUUGGUGAGGUAAAGGCUCACCAAGGCCACGAUCAGUAGCUGGUCUGAGAGGACGACCAGCCACACUGGAACUGAGACACGGUCCAGACUCCUACGGGAGGCAGCAGUGGGGAAUUUUGGACAAUGGGCGCAAGCCUGAUCCAGCAAUGCCGCGUGAGUGAAGAAGGCCU
rnacentral:rRNA from 1 species